rnacentral:rRNA from 1 species
UAGGGAAUCUUCGGCAAUGGGGGGAACCCUGACCGAGCAACGCCGCGUGAGUGAAGAAGGUUUUCGGAUCGUAAAGCUCUGUUGUUAAGGAAGAACGAGUGUGAGAAUGGAAAGUUCAUACUGUGACGGUACUUAACCAGAAAGGGACGGCUAACUACGUGCCAGCAGCCGCGGUAAUACGUAGGUCCCGAGCGUUGUCCGGAUUUAUUUGGCGUAAAGCGAGCGCAGGCGGUCAAUUAAGUCUGAUGUGAAAGCCCCCGGCUCAACCGGGGAGGGUCAUUGGAAACUGGUUGACUUAGGUGCAGAAGAGGAGAGUGGAAUUCCAUGUGUGGCGGUGAAAUGCGUAGAUAUAUGGAGGAACACCAGUGGCGAAGGCGACUCUCUGGUCUGUAACUGACGCUGAGGCUCGAAAGCGUGGGUAGCAAACAGG